AGCGAACGCUGGCGGCAGGCCUAACACAUGCAAGUCGAACGAACUCUUCGGAGUUAGUGGCGGACGGGUGAGUAACACGUGGGAACGUGCCUUUUGGUUCGGAAUAACUCAGGGAAACUUGUGCUAAUACCGAAUGUGCCCUUCGGGGGAAAGAUUUAUCGCCAUUAGAGCGGCCCGCGUCUGAUUAGCUAGUUGGUGAGGUAACGGCUCACCAAGGCGACGAUCAGUAGCUGGUCUGAGAGGAUGACCAGCCACACUGGGACUGAGACACGGCCCAGACUCCUACGGGAGGCAGCAGUGGGGAAUCUUGCGCAAUGGGCGAAAGCCUGACGCAGCCAUGCCGCGUGAAUGAUGAAGGUCUUAGGAUUGUAAAAUUCUUUCACCGGGAACGAUAAUGACGGUACCCGGAGAAGAAGCCCCGGCUAACUUCGUG
rnacentral:rRNA from 1 species